GCAGCCCUCACCAUGUGGCAGACCCAGGAGCCUGGAUCCAGCCUGGCCUACAGGCCAACAUGGCGAGGGGGAAGAAUGGCCGACAACAUUUCCUGCUCUGCGCCUGAGGUAAUCCACAUCCUUAGCCUGCUGGAAACUAUUAAGCACAACCAAGACCAGCUGAUUGCGAAGGUGCUGUGAGUAAAAAUGUGUUGACAAGGUCAGCCACGGACGCUGAGGUCACCAAACACGCCAUCAGGUG